AAUAGAUACCCAGGUAGUCCACGCCGUAAACGUUGGGCACUAGGUGUGGGGCGCUAUCGACGCGUUCCGUGCCGUAGCUAACGCAUUAAGUGCCCCGCCUGGGGAGUACGGCCGCAAGGCUAAAACUCAAAGGAAUUGACGGGGGGCCCGCACAAGCAGCGGAGCGUGUGGUUUAAUUCGUCGCAACGCGAAGAACCUUACCAGGGCUUGACAUGUGGCGGAAAACGGCGGAAACGUCGUCCUCCCGCAAGGGACCGUCAUGCAGGUGUUGCAUGGCUGUCGUCAGCUCGUGUCGUGAGAUGUUGGGUUAAGUCCCGCAACGAGCGCAACCCCCGUGGCAUGUUGUAUCUCUCAUGCCAGACUGCCGAGAGAAACUCGGAGGAAGGUGGGGAUGACGCCAAGUCAGCAUGGCCCUUACGUCCUGGGCUACACACACGCUACAAUGGCCGGUACAACGGGUUGCCAAACCGCGAGGUGGAGCUAAUCCCUUAAAGCCGGUCUCAGUUCGGAUUGCAGGCUGCAACUCGCCUGCA
rnacentral:rRNA from 1 species